ACAUGCCUACAACAUAGUUUUAAUGCACCGGAUCCCAUUAGAACUUUGCAGUUAAGCAUGCUUAGGCUAGAGUAGUACUGGGAUGGGUGACCGCCCAGGAAGUCCUAGUGUUUUACAUGCC
rnacentral:rRNA from 1 species